GACGAACGCUGGCGGCGUGCUUAACACAUGCAAGUCGAACGGAAAGGCCCUGCUUUUGUGGGGUGCUCGAGUGGCGAACGGGUGAGUAACACGUGAGUAACCUGCCCUUGACUUUGGGAUAACUUCAGGAAACUGGGGCUAAUACCGGAUAGGAGCUCCUGCUGCAUGGUGGGGGUUGGAAAGUUUCGGCGGUUGGGGAUGGACUCGCGGCUUAUCAGCUUGUUGGUGGGGUAGUGGCUUACCAAGGCUUUGACGGGUAGCCGGCCUGAGAGGGUGACCGGCCACAUUGGGACUGAGAUACGGCCCAGACUCCUACGGGAGGCAGCAGUGGGGAAUAGUGCACAAUGGGCGGAAGCCGUAUGCAGCAACGCCGCGUGCGGGAUGACGGCCUUCGGGUUGUAAACCGCUUUCGCCUGUGACGAAGCGUGAGUGACGGUAAUGGGUAAAGAAGCACCGGCUAACUACGUG
rnacentral:rRNA from 1 species